GGAAGUAAAAGUCUAACAAGGUCUUCGUAGGUGAACCUGCGGAGGGAUCAUUCCCACAAUUUGUAGGAGGGCUGUGAAGCUCUUCUUUCAAUUUCAACACAUGUGAACGGAUGGAGGUUGGAAGUGUUGUUUUUGCCCUUUUUUGAGCAAAAGGAAUGCUUUUCUCAUAAAACCUUUCUUUUCAAUAUUUUCAUUCAAUGAAUCAAUAACCAAUGCAAAAAACAACUCCAAACGGUGGAUGCCUUGGUUCCC
rnacentral:misc_RNA from 1 species